rnacentral:rRNA from 1 species
GACGAACGCUGGCGGCGUGCUUAACACAUGCAAGUCGAACGGAAAGGCCCUGCUUUUGUGGGGUGCUCGAGUGGCGAACGGGUGAGUAACACGUGAGUAACCUGCCCUUGACUUUGGGAUAACUUCAGGAAACUGGGGCUAAUACCGGAUAGGAGCUCCUGCUUCAUGGUGGGGGUUGGAAAGUUUCGGCGGUUGGGGAUGGACUCGCGGCUUAUCAGCUUGUUGGUGGGGUAGUGGCUUACCAAGGCUUUGACGGGUAGCCGGCCUGAGAGGGUGACCGGGCACAGGGGGACGGAGGGACGGCGCCGGAUGAUAGGGGGGGCAGGAGGGGGGAAGACGGCAGAGGGGGGGGGGGGGGGAGGGAGCAAGGGCGGGGGCGGGAGGAGGGCGUUGGGGUGGUUAUGCGCGGUCGAGGGGGACGAAAGGUGAGAGAAGGUAGGGAGCAAAGAAGGACGAUCUAACGACGGGAAGGCGGGAGAGGGAAGUACGGGACGAGCACGCGCCUGAAC